rnacentral:rRNA from 1 species
AGUUUGAUCCUGGCUCAGGAUGAAGCAAACUAUAGGCUUAACACAUGCAAGUCGAGGGGAAACGGCAUUAUGUGCUUGCACAUUCUGGACGUCGACCGGCGCACGGGUGAGUAUCGCGUAUCCAACCUUCCCUCCACUCGGGGAUACCCCGUUGAAAGACGGCCUAAUACCCGAUGUUGUCCACAGAUGGCAUCUGACGUGGACCAAAGAUUCAUCGGUGGAGGACGGGGAUGCGUCUGAUUAGCUUGUUGGUGCGGGUAACGGCCCACCAAGGCGACGAUCAGUAGGGGUUCUGAGAGGAAGGUCCCCCACAUUGGAACUGAGACACGGUCCAAACUCCUACGGGAGGCAGCAGUGAGGAAUAUUGGUCAAUGGACGUAAGUCUGAACCAGCCAAGUAGCGUGCAGGAUUGACGGCCCUAUGGGUUGUAAACUGCUUUUGUUGGGGAGUAAAGUGGGGCACGCGUGCCUUUUUGCAUUUACCCUUCGAAUAAGGACCGGCUAAUUCCGUGCCAGCAGCCGCGGUAACACGGAAGGUCCAGGCGUUAUCCGGAUUUAUUGGGUUUAAAGGGAGUGUAGGCGGUCUGUUAAGCGUGUUGUGAAAUUUAGGUGCUCAACAUCUACCUU